rnacentral:rRNA from 1 species
AUGGAUUGGAACUAUGAUUCAUAUGAUGAGGACUAUAGCUAUGAUGAAGAUUCAGAUGGUCAUAUAAGGAAGAGGAAGAGUACAUUCCCAAGAUACAACCCUGAAAGUGAAGUACCACAUUUUGCUUUGACCAUGGUUUUAAGAAGCAAGAAUCAGUUGUGCAAAGCUUUGAGAAGAUAUGGACUAAUAACAAAGAGGAGCAUAAAGUUCAUGAAAUUUGAGUGUGACAGAGUAAGGGCAAAGUGUGGAUGGCCUGGCUGCCCAUGGCUGAUAUAUGCAGCCAAGAGAUCAAGGACUUCAAGAUUCCAAGUCAUAACAUAUAAUGAUGAUCACCAAUGUGCACAGAACAGAUGCAACAAGUUGGUUACUGCAAAGGUGAUUGCACAGAGGUAUGAGCACUUCAUAUUGGCAAAUCCU